GCGCUCGCUUUGGCAGCACACGUACUUUUAAAAUUGGAAUGAUACAGAGAUUAGCAGGGCUCCUGUGCAAGGAUGAUGUGCAAAUUCGUGAAGCACUCCAUAUUUUU